CCCCACCGGCGCACCAGGGUGCAGGUUAGGCAGGUGAAGCACCUCCCCGGAAACGGAGCUGGAGCGCUCCUCCUGCCGGGCUCGGAUUGGAUCCAGCACUCCCAGGCUUCUCGAGCCAGUGGUGACAGCUGAAGCCAUGUGAGUUGGAUCCUGAAUGAGGCUUUAUCUCUGGCUCUUCGUCAUCGGCCACCGUCCACCAUCCACCAUGGCACCAGCUCCCUCGGCCAGCCGGGAUGGGACAGGCAACUGAGAGAGCCAGAGAGAUGAUGGUGCCUUUGCCCUGGACUGUGAGAGGAAUAGGACUUCGGGCUUCCAGCUGCCAAGCAGGUGGUGGGGGCUCCAGGCCAUGAUCUGCCCCCUCUAACCCUGGUGCUGCCCUCUGCCCUGACUUCCACCAGACCCGGCCAUGUCGGAAGGAGAGGCUCCUGCCCCGCGGGGCCGGGCGCUGCCCCCAGAUGUGCUGGCAGAGCAGGUGGAGUUGUGGUGGUCCCAGGAGCCGCGGCGCUCGGCACUCUGCUUUGCCAUGGCGGUGGGCCUCGUGGCUGGCUGCGGGGCAGGCGGCGUGGCACUGCUCGCCUCCACCAGCAGUCGCUCGGGCGAGUGGCGGCUGGCAGUGGGCACUGUGCUCUGCCUGCUGGCGCUGUUGGUUCUGGUUAAGCAGCUGAUGAGCUCAGCCGUGCAGGACAUGAACUGCGUACGCCAGCCCCAACACGUGGCCCUGCUGCGCAGCGGUGGCGGUGCCGACGCCCUCGUGGUGCUGCUCAGUGGCCUGGUGCUGCUGGUCACCGGCCUGACGCUGGCCGGGCUGGCCGCCGCCCCAGCCCCUGCCCGGCCACUGGCCGUCAUGUUGUCCGUGGGCAUCGCCCUGGCUGCCUCCGGCUCACUCUUGCUGCUGGGCUUGCUGCUGUAUCAGGUGGGCGUGAGUGGACACUGCCCUCCCCUGCGCGCAGCUGCCCCCUCCAUGCACAGUGACCACAGUGGCAGCGGCAGCAUCUUCAGCAUCUCAGGACGGCUCUCUGCUGGCCAGCGUCAUGAGACCACUUCCAGCAUCGCCAGCCUCAUCUGACCAAGCCGGAGCCCUUGCCACAGCUGCCUCAGCCUCAUGGACCUGUGCUGGCGUGAAACCACCUCCAUGGACUAAUCCACACACUGGCCUUCACUGCACCUGCCGCCCCUCAGGGAGUGGUUAUUAGAGAGACCGGCACAGCCAGGCAGCAGGCGUCACCGUGAAUUCCUCAUCACCAGUCUCAGCCGGGUCUGCAGUAGCUCAUCAGUUACAGUUUCCCUCGUCAGCUGCUCCCACAGUGACCCUCAAGUUACCUCCACUCCCUUCACAUCCUAGGUCACCUAACAUCACUCCCUGCAGGUGGCUUGACCUUCCACCUCGAGAGACUGAGAGUCCUAUGGAAAGAAGCCUUCACAUCCCUCCCACCAAAUCCCUCCUCCUUGCUCCUGUCCAGGCAAUGACCUUGGCAGCCCAGCUGAGGAAUUUGGACUUUGUCCUCAGGACUCUGAGAAACAUGGGACAAAUUUAAUCAGGGGAGUGAGAGUAGGAUUUGGGACUCACUGGCUGCUGUGUGGAACCAGGGUGAGCUCUCCAAGAAAAAGAAGAAGAAAUGGCCAAACAGUCCCAGAAGUGAUGUCUCCGCUGGCCCUAAGGGGUGGGAAGAGUGCCCCAGAAAGAAGAAAUAGCAGAAGGGCCUAGGGACAAGGGAACUUGGCUCCUUCAAGGAACUACAAAGGGCCCAGCCGGUGUGGCUCAGUGGUUGAGCAUCGAGUUAUGAACCAGAAGGUCACUGUUUGAUUCCCCAUUAAGGCACAUACCCAAUUGCAGGCUCGAUCCCC